AACGAACGCUGGCGGCAGGCUUAACACAUGCAAGUCGAACGCCCCGCCAGGGGAGUGGCAGACGGGUGAGUAACGCGUGGGAACAUACCCUUUUCUACGGAAUAGCUCUGGGAAACUGGAAUUAAUACCGUAUACGCCCUACGGGGGAAAGAUUUAUCGGGGAAGGAUUGGCCCGCGUUGGAUUAGCUAGUUGGUGGGGUAAAGGCCUACCAAGGCGACGAUCCAUAGCUGGUCUGAGAGGAUGAUCAGCCACAUUGGGACUGAGACACGGCCCAAACUCCUACGGGAGGCAGCAGUGGGGAAUAUUGGACAAUGGGCGCAAGCCUGAUCCAGCCAUGCCGCGUGAGUGAUGAAGGCCUUAGGGUUGUAAAGCUCUUUCACCGAUGAAGAUAAUGACGGUAGUCGGAGAAGAAGCCCCGGCUAACUUCGUG
rnacentral:rRNA from 1 species